AUUCAUAUAGUUUAAAUAAAACAUUUUAUUUUCGUUAAAAAAAAAGAUUACUUUCUUAUGAAUU
rnacentral:tRNA from 1 species